GACGAACGCUGGCGGCGUGCUUAACACAUGCAAGUCGAACGGAAAGGCCCUGCUUUUGUGGGGUGCUCGAGUGGCGAACGGGUGUGUAACACGUGAGUAACCUGCCCUUGACUUUGGGAUAACUUCAGGAAACUGUGGCUAAUACCGGAUAGGAGCUCCUGCUGCAUGGUGGGGGUUGGAAAGUUUCGGCGGUUGGGUAUUGACUCGCGGCUUAUCAGCUUGUUGGUGGGGUAGUGGCUUACCAAGGCUUUGACGGGUAGCCGGCCUGAGAGGGUGACCGGCAACAUUGGGACUGAGAUACGGACCAGACUCCAACGGGAGGCAGCAGUGGGGAAUAUUGCACAAUGGGAGGAAGCCUGAUGAAGCAACGCCGCGUGCGGGAUGACGGCCUUCGGGUUGUAAAACGAUUUCGCCUGUGACGAAGCGGGAGUGACGGUAAUGGGUAAAGAAGCACCGGCUAACUACGUG
rnacentral:rRNA from 1 species